AGAGUUUGAUCCUGGCUCAGAUUGAACGCUGACGGUAUGCUUAACACAUGCAAGUCGAACGGAAACGGAACUAGCUUGCUAGUAGACGUCGAGUGGCGGACGGGUGAGUAACGCGUAGGAAUCUGCCUGAUAGUGGGGGAUAGCCCGAAGAAAUUCGGAUUAAUACCGCAUAAUCUAUUCGUAGUAAAGUGAGGGACUUUCGAGCCUCACGCUAUCAGAUGAGCCUGCGUAAGAUUAGCUUGUUGGUAGGGUAAAAGCCUACCAAAGCAACGAUCUUUAGCUGGUCUGAGAGGAUGAUCAGCCACAUCGGGACUGAGACACGGCCCGAACUCCUACGGGAGGCAGCAGUGGGGAAUAUUGGACAAUGGGGGCAACCCUGAUCCAGCAAUACCGCGUGUGUGAAGAAGGCCUGAGGGUUGUAAAGCACUUUCAAUUGUGAAGAAAAGUUAACGGUUAAUAACCGUUGACCUUGACGUUAACUUUAGAAGAAGCACCGGCUAACUCCGUGCCAGCAGCCGCGGUAAUACGGAGGGUGCAAGCGUUAAUCGGAAUUACUGGGCGUAAAGCGUGCGUAGGCGGUUUAUUAAGUCAGAUGUGAAAGCCCCGGGCUUAACCUGGGAACUGCAUUUGAAACUGGUCAACUAGAGUAUGGUAGAGGAAAGUGGAAUUUCUGGUGUA
rnacentral:rRNA from 1 species